ACUCCUACGGGAGGCAGCAGUAGGGAAUCUUCCACAAUGGGCGCAAGCCUGAUGGAGCAACACCGCGUGAGUGAAGAAGGGUUUCGGCUCGUAAAGCUCUGUUGUUAAAGAAGAACACGUAUGAGAGUAACUGUUCAUACGUUGACGGUAUUUAACCAGAAAGUCACGGCUAACUACGUGCCAGCAGCCGCGGUAAUACGUAGGUGGCAAGCGUUAUCCGGAUUUAUUGGGCGUAAAGAGAGUGCAGGCGGUUUUCUAAGUCUGAUGUGAAAGCCUUCGGCUUAACCGGAGAAGUGCAUCGGAAACUGGAUAACUUGAGUGCAGAAGAGGGUAGUGGAAC
rnacentral:rRNA from 1 species